rnacentral:rRNA from 1 species
UGGGGAAUUUUGGACAAUGGGCGAAAGCCUGAUCCAGCAAUGCCGCGUGUGUGAAGAAGGCCUUCGGGUUGUAAAGCACUUUUGUCCGGAAAGAAAUCCUCUGGGUUAAUACCUCGGGGGGAUGACGGUACCGGAAGAAUAAGCACCGGCUAACUACGUGCCAGCAGCCGCGGUAAUACGUAGGGUGCAAGCGUUAAUCGGAAUUACUGGGCGUAAAGUGUGCGCAGGCGGUUUUGUAAGACGGAUGUGAAAUCCCCGGGCUUAACCUGGGAACUGCAUUCGUGACUGCAAGGCUAGAGUAUGGCAGAGGGGGGUAGAAUUCCACGUGUAGCAGUGAAAUGCGUAGAGAUGUGGAGGAAUACCGAUGGCGAAGGCAGCCCCCUGGGCCAAUACUGACGCUCAUGCACGAAAGCGUGGGGAGCAAACAGGAUUCAGAUACCCUGGUAGUCCACGCCCUAAACGAUGUCAACUAGUUGUUGGGGAUUCAUUUCCUUAGUAACGUAGCUAACGCGUGAAGUUGACCGCCUGGGGAGUACGGUCGCAAGAUUAAACUCAAAUGAAUUGACGGGGUCAUAGCUGUUUCCU